rnacentral:lncRNA from 1 species
UUUUCAUUCUUUAUGGUAUUUAACAGUGAAGAUUUGUAGAUGGUCUGUCUACUUGGUUUUAUAGGUUUUGAUCAGCACUCAGAAGCUCAGUUUGAUCACCCUAGUUUGGCCUGAGCUGAAAGCACUGAAACAGUGAGUUCUUUGGGUCUUACUUCUAGAAACGAGGAAAUGAGAGAGAUAGUGACUUGGUUUCUCUUAUGUUUCCCUUUUGUUCUCUUCUCAGUGGCCUUGCUAACAAGUUUACCUCCAAACUAUGAGAUUUCAGAAGGAAAACCAAGAGCCAUCUCUGCAUAUGUGAGAGCGGGCAAAGGAAAUAUGACAAGGAGAAGAAAGAAGACACACUUGGGCAAUGAUGAUGGGAAGAAGGAAGCACAGGAGAAAAUGUAAGAAAUGUACAGCCCAUGAGGAAGAUCCAAAGAGAACUUUGGCCUUAACUAAGCUUCCUACAUUCUCCUGGAGUCGGUGGUUUAUGAAUGUGGUGCCAUCUGGGGAACUGACAACCCCUGAUGUGUUCACUCUGCUCGUCUUCCAGGUGAGAGAAGAAGAAGGGGAGAAAGAAAGAGAAGUUCCAGAAUUUCACAGGCUGAGGGAGAUGGUAGUAACUUCUGUUUAUGUUGGUUUCUGUUUAUUGGUUUGCUUUUUAUUUUGAACUCAUUUGACUUCAGGUUCCAGAUUUGUUUUUCUCUUUGUAAACGAGACUUUGACAUUGUUAGCAGGCCCAUCUGUUUGCUUUUCUUAAAUAAAAUGUAAAUUGGUUUUUGUUUUAAAUUUCAGGUGCUUUUAAGUUUGACUCUGCUAUUCAUUUCCUAAGGUAGUUUGGGCAUGGUAGUGCUGGUAAGAACAGAGAAAUCUUGCUUUAUA